AAUCCAGCUUUUGAAGUGCUCCGAAACAUGUGCUUUAAAAGAAAACAAAUUAAUUGAAGCAACAUUGGGCUGAGUCCUACCAAGGCAGAAAUCAGACGGAGGCAGGAAGAAUGUCCUUGAGUUUUAUUUUCAUGGGUUCCUCUGACCCAUAGGCUGGAGGAGGAAGCGGGCAGAUGUUUCAAAUGGAGACAUUACAUCACUGGGCUUUUAUAUCCUCCAUCUGUACGAACUGUAAGACAUAAGUGAGGCCAGGCAUGAUUAUUCCUAAAGAAAUUAAAGCGCGAGCAAGGCACAUUCACAGCCCCAAGGUGGAGCUUGCACUCUGGGAGAUGUUUGACUUCCCUCUUUCCUAUCACCUCCACCUCCUCCCUAAAAACCUGUAGAGCUCCCAGGACACCUGGCCAUGCCCAGGACCAUCUGUGCACUCACUGAGACUGGUGCUAGUGAGUUAAAACCAGGAGGACUGGAAUUUUCUUGAGGGAUGCUUCUCUUCUAUGGCAUUUGAAAUAAGUCUCAGCCUUGCUGUUGGAUGCAGUAGGUAUUUCUCCCAUGGACAAGUCAUUUUAAAUUGGAAAGGAAUAGCAUAAAAAAGUAAUAAAACCUGGCUAUCUCCAAACUGGACUUGAACCCAAGCACUGUAGGAAAUGGGCCCACCAGUGGGAUAUAGGUCCUAUACAAUAUACAAGAGGUUUUUCUCAGCUGUUGAAAAGAAGAGGACAGAAAAGGUUAAGAGGUUGCGCCGCAGCGUUCUUGGAGUUUUUGGAUUCCCUUGGGUCCCAGACAUGACAGCAGCAUGUCUGUCUGUCCCACCCCACCACCCCUCACCGCCUGGCUCUCCCGGGAGAGGAAUUGCUGGUUUACAGCCAAAGAGCAGAAUGAGAGACAUCCUCCUGUGGAAAAGCUUUGACACACCCAGGCGAAGGCUUCGGCUCAGUGAGGAGCAUUGCAGACCACUGGGAAAAACCCAUAGCAACAGUAGAGGAAAUGAAUUGUGGGUUCAGUGCCGCAAAAAACCAUCUGAACGGGCUUAGCUUUAAGCACGCGAGGAGCUCACUGGCUUCAUCUGGGAUGGAAUGUUCGGCAGCUGCUGCCAAGGCAGGACAUACCCAGUGGAAAUGCACUAAAUCUCUACACACAGUCAGUGUACAGGGCAGGAUUCAAGUUUCAAAGGAAAGUGACUGUUGUCACCACUUGGGAUUCACGAGCUGGCAGCAAACUGCGUUGGACUGCUUUGGUGUAAAGGGGAAGAGCCACAAAGAAGCUUCGGCAAGAUGAUGCUUCCUAAAGAGGUUCAGCAAGACACCGAGUAGUGUCACCGACACUUCUACUACUGAAGAGGUAAAGACAAGAACAUUCAUGUAGCUACUUGUAUUUACUUCAUAUCUGCUCUACCGUACAAAUAAACUCAUGGAUUUAAAUGCUUAUUCAGCAAACUUUUAAUUCAAGACAAGUCUAAGUUGCUAAUUGGGAAAGAAAAUGAAUCACACAGAAUCACAGAAUGUCAGGGAUUGGAAGGGACCUCGAAAGCUCAUCCAGUGCAAUCCCCCCAUGGAGCAGGAACACCCAGAUGAGGUUACACAGGAAGGUGUCCAG